rnacentral:rRNA from 1 species
GACGAACGCUGGCGGCGUGCUUAACACAUGCAAGUCGAACGGAAAGGCCCUGCUUUUGUGGGGUGCUCGAGGGGCGAACGGGUGAGUAACACGUGAGUAACCUGCCCCUGACUUUGGGAUAACUUCAGGAAACUGGGGCUAAUACCGGCUAGGAGCUCCUGCUGCUUGGUGGGGGCUGGAAAGUUUCGGCGGUUGGGGUUGGACUCGCCGCUUAUCAGCUUGUUGGUGGGGUAGUGGCUUACCAAGGCUUUGACGGGUAGCCGGCCUGGGAGGGUGACCGGCCACGUUGGGACUGAGCUGCGGCCCAGACUCCUACGGGAGGCAGCGGUGGGGAAUAUUGCACAAUGCGCGGGGGCCUGAUGCAGCAACGCCGCGUGCGGGAUGACGGCCUUCGGGUUGUGUACCGCUUUCGCCUGUGACGAAGCGUUAGUGACGGUAAUGGGUAAAUAAGCACCGGCUAACUACGUG